rnacentral:rRNA from 1 species
AUGCUGUCUCUGCAGGAGGCGAUCGGCCUUGACAUGGACGCGAUGACGUCCGGGUUCGGGUUCACCCCGUGGGAGGCCGACACGUGCCCCACCCUGGAGGAGCUCAUGGCGGCGUCGUCCACUUCGUCCCCCAGCUCGUCCGGCGGGGCGGUCGCGGACCAGGCGGCGGGGCUGGUGGAGGACGAGGAGGAGCGCCGGCGGCGGCAGCGGCGGAAGGUGUCGAACCGGCUGUCGGCGCAGCGGUCGCGGGCGCGCAAGCAGCAGCGCCUGGAGGAGCUCCGCGGGACGGUGGCUCGCUUCCGCGUCGAGAAGCGCGAGCUGGCCGCCAAGCUACACGCCGUGGCGCGGCACGAGCUCGCCGUGCGCCGCCAGAACGCGCGGCUCCGCGCCGAGGCCGCGGUGCUCGCGCGCCGGCUCCGCGAGGCGCGCCGCCUCCUCGCGCUGCAGCGGCUCAUGCAGCAGCUCCGGUCGCGUCGCCCGCAGCCGGGCGCUGGCAGCGGUCCGGGAGGAGCCGCCUUCCCGCCGGCGGCAGAGCUGGGGCUGGCUUCCCUCAUGACCUACUAG